GUCAACGGAGAAAAACACUAUUUGUGAAGAAAAUAUAAGAAUUUUGUCCUCAUAAAAGUCCAAUAUCUCAUCAGGGACCAGAGUCAGCCACCCUGGUUGACCACCGUUAUGCAUUUUAUCAACUGAUAACCGAAAGAUAGUGCAAUCCCAUGUGGCACAGCAUUGGUCCUCACGUGGCACCAUUCACCAACUGCCAAAUGGCACAACAGAUGAGUUGACUUUUUCAUGCCUUGAGGAACCUGUUGAGCCAGUCAAUCAGGUCUUGGUGGGCUUCCUCCGCCGCCUUCACCGCAAAUUCAUCACCGUCGUCAAACCUCACGGUCCAUCCGUGGGACACCCCGGGGAAUAUCUUCACGAAGCUCUCCAACUGGCCAAAAAUCCAAAUAAAUAAAUAAAUAUUAUAUACCAAUUAUACAUAUGUUUAUGGUAUAAUGAGAAAUUAUAAACUGCAUGAAUUAUGGAUUAACCCAGACGGAUCAAGAUCUCAUUAAAGAAAAUAGCACAAGAAAGGGGUCAUAAUUGGAAAAUUUUCUAGCAGAUUCAAGUAAAAAAAAUUUCAAAAAUUAUUGAUCAGAACCAGCUGGAUUUACCUGGGUGUUUGAAGAUAAAACCUCCUCGAAUUGUUUAACCAGUUCAGGUGGAGACAUGUUGUCAGCUUCUGCUCCGAGAAUGGCAAGGUGGGACUUCACCUCUGCGCUCAUACAGAAGAAAGGAAGAUCAAAGAGUUAAUAUCAUUUAUGGACAUGAAGCUGCAGGUAGAUGACGGAUUAAACAGAUUAAUUACCUUUUAUAUCAUCAAGCUUGACAAAAGAAGGGUGUAACAGCACACCAGUCUGGAUGUCCCCAGAUUUUGCGAGCUCUGUGACUACCUUGGCUGAUAGAAGCAUGAAAAAAAUACAUAGAGAAUUAAUAUUCUUCACUAUUUUUUUAUUAAUAUUCCCCUAAUUAGUUAUUUAUUUCUCAGAAUAAUUAAAUGGAAUGGAUCCAAUGUAACCCACUUUUUUCUAAAAGCCCAGUAUGCAGAAAAGUUAAUAGCGGGUGGUUUUCUGACAGCUGAAUCCAGAACAUUUUUCCAGUAUUUAUAUCUAAAAAAAAUCCAGAGAAGAUAAUUUCCAUAAAAGGAAAGUUAGCAGCGGCUGGUUUUUUGCUGACAGCUUAAUCCAGCACAUAUUUUUGUAGCCAGAAUAAAAUCAUGAACCGUAAAUGAGAUAGUUUCCAGUUAAAUGGAACCACUGACUUUUAUAUCUAUGAAUCUUGGGUCAUAUCUACACUUUAUUUUCAUCUACCAAUUAUUGCAUGUAUGAAAAAAAUAAUCUAUACAUAUAUAUAUGUAUAUAUAUGCGUAUCUACAGAAAAAGAAGUGGCUUACCGCCCCAGCAGAAGCCUGCAGCCCCAACAGAAGACAGGCCCUUGAGUUUCAGGGCGGUGACUACAUUCUUCGCAUUUUCAUACCCCCUUUCCUGAAAAAUAAGGUGAAAUAUAUUAACAGGAGUAUUAAAUGGCAAGAAAAUAACAGAGCUGAUGAAAGCCGCCAGUCACCAAAUAAUUUGAAACCCAUCAAGAGCAAAAGACUUUUUGAAGCGAAAAUAAUUUAUAAAUGCAAUGUGUAAAUCUGGCAUCUGAAUAUUUGUUUCGAAAUUAUUAAAACCCAAUAGAUGAUAAAUUAGAGGGGCCCUGCAAGAUGCCAAACAGCAUCCUAACACUCAAUUUGCAUCAAUGAACUCCAUAGCCAAUAAGCUUAUAAGCUUUUCGGGUGAUUCCUGCAAUGGAAUGGAAUCCUGUAGACUCCAAUGAUAUUAUAACAUUUUCAGGAAAACAAGUUUUUUCAACGAAUCUUUGAUGAACCAGUUGCUUGGUAGGGAAACAAGACUGGAUUUUGGCAGAGGAACAAGACUGGUUUUUUUUUCCGAAAUCUGAGAUCAAUGAGUAAAUUAUUUUACUUUAAAAAAAAAUUUGGAUGAAACAAACCGUUGGAUGUGAUUUUAACCAAACUGGAAAUGGUUUAUCAGCAUUCUCUCGCACAAAUGGUUCGCCAUAGAAGAAAUCAGGAGCCACCACAAAGAAGCCGGCAGCAGCAACCUUGUCAGCAAUUUUCCUUAGUAGGAAAAUAAACCAUGUGUUAACGCAUAUCAUAUAAUACUUCUCAUAAUAUUGAUCAAAUAAUACUUCUCAUAUAGCAUUACUCAAUUCAUUUUAAGUGAGAUAUUCAUACUUCAAUAAAAUGUACUCUAAAUAUCACAUCCAAGAUAUUUUACUUCACAAAAGAAGUGCACUUUAAUUUUCCUUAGAAAUUAUUGGCUUCCUGGACUGCCCUUGGAGAAUUUUUUUUUUAAUCAGGAAUACGUUUCCCACCAAAUAAUGAAGGCCAAAAGCCUCUAGCAAUAUAUUUUUUUUCUUAAUCUGGAAAAGUGUAUGCAAGAGUAGCGACCUUAUGAUCAAUGGAAAUAAUCCGUAGAAGGUAAAAGUAAGACAACAUUAUAUUUCAAAAAAAUAUAACCAAAUCUUUGCAUGCAGAUUCCCAAGUGAGUCAAAGGCUUUGGAUCAAAAGAAGUAGGGCCAGAGGUACCCAAGAGCCCAAUACCUCCAGACAGAUAAAGUUAUGGCCAUUGCUGCUGUGUGUAUGGCAAAACAUGUGGAGUAUUAUUCCAAAAAAAUAUGCUUUCUAACUUGGGCAUCAGCUAGGAAAGAGAUGGUCAACUGUAAAUUAGUAUUUUACCUCAAGUUUGGAGCCUCAAAACCUGUAAAUAGAAGAAUUUAGACCGCAGAGUGAAUGAACGUUGACUUUAUUAAUUGAGAAUGAAAUAAAAUAAAAAUUUUGAUGAAUAAACGUUGACUUUACCCACUGAGAAUCUCACAAGAAAUCCAAACAAAAAAAAAAAAAAAAACGUUAAGAGGCUGGAAUCCACGGGUUAUGGCAGCCCUUCCUUUAUUAUCGUGGGGUAUAUCAGCAUCCUUCUCCAGAUAUUCCAACGAUGGAGGAGAGAAACAGAGAGAACAGUUGCGAAACCCAUAAUCACGGGAAAGCUCAGCAGAAUCACCCGAUUUCUUUCAUGGCAAAGAUCAACAGGCGAUCAGUCAAUGCUUAAGCGCGCGCAGCUGGUUCCACUCUCCAAACCCAUGGGAGCAGAACAAGCAAAAACGGAGGCCGGAGCCAGCUCCCGCUUCCCCAUCGACCAUCCGAAGAACAACAUAAAAAGCAAGAAGAAGGUAGGAGCGAGGAGAUAUCCAGGGGCGGCGGGGCAGCUCACCGAAGACAUCGGAGACGAGGAGGACGGCGAGGCCGGAGUCGGGGAAGCCGGCGACGUAGCUGCGGAGGCCGCCCAGGUCCUCCACGACGGAGCCAAGCCCGGCGGCGGAGUCCACAACCGGCGGGUUUGCACAGCACUGCGAGCUCGCCAUCGCCCCACCAACCACACACGGAGACGGGGAGCUGGAGAAGCAACGGUAGAUGGCGAUGAUCGGAGAUAAAGGGCAGUAGCUACGUCUGGUGCCUUCGGCAGCCACGAAGUUCCUCCCUUUUUAUGGGAAAAGGUGAGCCCAUUUGCCCGGCAGUUGACGUGUCUAGAUUUUUCCUCGGACGGGGGACCGCAUCGCCAGUGGUGACGUCCUCUGCAGCGCCCGUCUGAAAAUUGUGUUCGAACUUCUCUCAUCUCGAACAUCUGAAGGUUGAGCAAAAUAAUCCGUCUUACGGUCUAAAGAACUCGUUAGAUCAUAAAUCAGAUAGAAGUUUCAAGAUUUAAUGACAGUUAAAUUACUAUUGGAAAAACGUGGCAUCACAACCUUUGAAUCAGACAAAAUUAACUUUUCUCGCUUGGAAAACAAGAUCGAACAAAAAAUAAUGCAGAAAAGAAUAAGAUCGAACAAAGAAGAAUAUUUUAACUAAUCCCAAGAGACUAAAGUCCAAUCCAUACAUUUUAAAUAUGCUAUGUUGGACUUCAGUCUCUGACGUGUUUGAAGAUCCCAGACUUUUGUGCUCCAUAAAUAAGUUGGAUUUCAUCUUAUCUGACCGAAAAAAAUUUAAACACUUCUUGGGACCCAAUAGAUUAGAGAGAGAGAGAGAGAGAGAAGAAAGGGCAGGGAAAUAUGAAGUCAAAAUAAAUUGAUGGGACCCAAAGUACCUCAGAGAAGAAAACAAGGGAAGAGAGAGAGAGAGAAUUAAUCAAGAACAAUAAUGGAAUCGACACAACAACAACUAUAGUGCCUAAGGUGACCACUUUGAGAAGGUCGGACUCCAAUUACUACUUUCUGACCCCCACCCCUUCUCUCUACCAUAUACUUAUUAAUAACUAAGGACACCAAUCCUUUGACGUCCAUCCAUAACAACUAACAAUACCACUGAUACGACUUGUCAUUAGUCAACUGCACUAGUUCUUCCUAUCAAUUGUUGAUUAGUCCACAUUGGUUUCUUAAGCGUUGCUACUUAUGGGAAUGUUUAAUCGACGCAAGGGCUAUAUCAACACCUCUUCCCACGAGAUUGACCUCGUCGUCAAGGUAGAAAGUUCAAUAUUGUUGAUGAAACUUCUUGGCAUUCUCCCACAUAGCAUCUGAAUUUGGUAAGUUCUCCCAUUUGACUAAAAUGUCAAGAUCAUAAGGUUGCUGAUAGAUGGUGAGAAUAUACUUUACUUUGAACCUAGAUUCCAAGUGAGAUCCUCAUUUAACAAGUUCAGAGGUUGAAUGUGUUUGACUAUUCCAAGGGCCUUCUUAAGUUGAGAUACAUGUAUUACAAGAUAAAUAUUGGACAAAACAAGCAAAUCAAUUUUAUAAAUAGUGAUGCCAAUUCUCUCUAAUAUCUGAAAAUGUCUGAAAAAAUGAGACAAUUUCUCAUUAGCCUACCUUACAAGAAAAUAUUCAUGAUAAGAUCACAACUGGUAGAUAAACCUUGUCACCCACUAUGAAUUGGAUAUCACAUAAUAUUUUAUUUACUUGUAACUUUAUUCAAUAUUGUGCUCAAAAGAAAUGUCUAGAUAUACACAAAACAUAUAUUUUAUUUUUAUUAUUUAUUUAACCAUUCAACCAAAAUGGCCAAAAUGCUAAAAUGAGCAUGGUUUAUUCUUGAUGUCCUUAAAUAAUAAAUACGCUUAUAAUUUUUAUGCUUCUAGUUGAUACAAAUAUUUUUUUAUUAUAUAAUCAGAUUAUUUUUUUGAAAAAAAAUUGUCAACGAAGAAAAAUACCAUUUUCAAAGAAAAUAAAGAAUUUCGUCCUUAUAAAAGCCCAAUAUCUCAUCAGGGACCAGAGCCAGCCACGUUGACCACAGUAAUAUUAUUUUUUCAACUACUAAAACCGAAAGAUAUCCGCAACCCAUGCGUCCACAUACUUGGCAUAGCAUUGCUGACGUGGCACCAUUCACCAACUGCCACAUGACAUAGCAGAUGGGUUGACUUUUAUGAGGCUGUGAUUAAGCGGCCAUUUUUCAUGCCUUGAGGAUCCUGUUGAGCCAGUCAACCAGGUCUUGGUGGGCUUCCUCCGCCUUCUUCACCGCAAAUUCAUC
rnacentral:lncRNA from 1 species